rnacentral:rRNA from 1 species
AUUGAACGCUGGCGGCAGGCUUAACACAUGCAAGUCGAGCGGGGUGAUGGUGCUUGCACUAUCACUUAGCGGCGGACGGGUGAGUAAUGCUUAGGAAUCUGCCUAUUAGUGGGGGACAACAUCUCGAAAGGGAUGCUAAUACCGCAUACGUCCUACGGGAGAAAGCAGGGGAUCACUUGUGACCUUGCGCUAAUAGAUGAGCCUAAGUCGGAUUAGCUAGUUGGUGGGGUAAAGGCCUACCAAGGCGACGAUCUGUAGCGGGACUGAGAGGAUGAUUCGCCACACUGGGACUGAGACACGGCCCAGACUCCUACGGGAGGCAGCAGUGGGGAAUAUUGGACAAUGGGGGAAACCCUGAUCCAGCCAUGCCGCGUGUGUGAAGAAGGCCUUAUGGUUGUAAAGCACUUUAAGCGAGGAGGAGGCUCUUUUGGUUAAUACCCAAGAUGAGUGGACGUUACUCGCAGAAUAAGCACCGGCUAACUCUGUGCCAGCAGCCGCCGUAA